AGGAAUCAGUAGGGCCUCCGGGUGGGUGGCCAUGGCCUUUACGUUGUACUCGCUGCUGCAGGCGGCCGUUCUCUGCGUCAAUGCCAUCGCCGUGCUUCACGAGGAGCGUUUCCUCAAGAACAUUGGCUGGGGAACAGACCAGGGAAUUGGAGGAUUCGGAGAAGAGCCAGGAAUUAAAUCUCAGCUAAUGAACCUUAUUCGAUCUGUAAGAACCGUGAUGAGAGAUGUCGCUGGUGACCCUGUGGGUCUACUCCUGCCUGGGUCCAGUUUGCUUGUGUUCCCGGAGCUGCUCCAGCACUAUCCCCAGAUUACUUUGUAUUGAUCUAGUUGUGCCAGUGUGACCCUUAUCCCAGUCACACAAGCCCUCUUUCAAUGCCAUUGAUAAUAGUAAACUCAAUUGCAAUUGUAUUACUUUUACUAUUUGGGUGAAGAUCAAUGGGGGAAAUGGAGACUCCGAAGACGACCUGCUGGCAGAAGUUAUUACUUCAGUCUUUAUUGAAGUAUACAUAUCUUAGCUGGCUCUCCUUGGACUUGACAAAAAUGUAAACCUUACAAUAAAACCAGAGUCCCUAUUUAUCUGAUUUUUUAAAAUGUUGCACUUACAGUUUUAUUGUAAAAAGAUCAGAUCAUCAGAGGCCAUAACUAUCGAGGAUUGGAAUACAUUUGAUUGCUGACUGCUGAUAAAAGUUCAUGCUACGGAAAAGAUUGUUAAAAGGGUGCAGGACUGUCACUUCUGUGUUUUUAGAGAUUCCUCUCUUUGACUUCUCAGGGAUGAAUUUUUUUUCAAAGUUCUUGUAACUUAGUUAUGAUGUGAGAACGAUUAUCCUCCUAGAUAAAAUUUAAAGGAUUUUUAAAAUAUAAAAUGUUAGGUAAUCUGGAUUGUUUUAUUUUGAACUCGUUGGUUAAGUAUUCUGUCUGUAUACUGUCUCAGCUAUGAAAAAUUCAAAUCCAUAGUAACUAUUGAGGAGCAAUACUCUGAUUUCUGGGAGAGUUCUAAUUUUCUUAAGUUGGAUAGUCACAUGUUGAUUGUGUUUUUAAGUUUCAUUUUAAGUUUGAUUCAUGCAUUUGUUAUUUUAUUAAUUGGCCUGAAUGAUGAGACCAGAUCAGUAUCUACAUAUUUCCAAAGGUUAAAGAAAAAUCUGUAUAGAAAAGUCUAUGCCCUUUUUAACAAUGAUGACUUAUUUUUUUAAAUCAGCAUAAAUGGUAGCCAGUAAGAGCAAUCCUAAACAGUCACCAUUAAACCACACUAUGUAAGAAGACUUUAUUGUUAAGCAUUUACCUCCCCAAAUUAUCACGUUUCUUGGAGUAGCACAUUAAGGGGUGUGAUUGGUGAUUCUUCAUUCUGUCAGUCACUAGAGCAUUCAUGGUGGAUAAAUUGUCUUUUGUUUUAUUUUUAUGUCUUAGACCAUCCCAUAUUUGUUUACCCCAUAAUACCGUUUUAUGCAGAAAGAUUAAGACAAUGUAAAUGGUUUUUCUGGAAAUUAGUAAAUAAUGCUUUAAAAGGGGUGGAAAGGCAUCUGUGUUUAAAAGAGAACAUUUGUAAAUAAAAUUCAAUUUCCAAGUCAAA